UUGACCUCGGAUCAGGUAGGGUUACCCGCUGAACUUAAGCAUAUCAAUAAGCGGAGGAAAAGAAACCAACAGGGAUUGCCUCAGUAACGGCGAGUGAAGCGGCAACAGCUCAAAUUUGAAAUCUGGCGGCCUCUGGGCCGUCCGAGUUGUAAUUUGAAGAGGAUGCUUUUGGCGAGGCGCCUUCCGAGUGCCCUGGAACGGGACGCCACAGAGGGUGAGAGCCCCGUAUGGUUGGACGCCGAGCCUCUGUAAAGCUCCUUCGACGAGCCCUGAACGGACGCCACAGAGGGUGAGAGCCCCGUAUGGUUGGACGCCGAGCCUCUGUAAAGCUCCUUCGACGAGUCGAGUAGUUUGGGAAUGCUGCUCAAAAUGGGAGGUAAACCCCUUCUAAAGCUAAAUACUGGCCAGAGACCGAUAGCGCACAAGUAGAGUGAUCGAAAGAUGAAAAGCACUUUGAAAAGAGAGUUAAAUAGCACGUGAAAUUGUUGAAAGGGAAGCGCUUGCGACCAGACUUGUGCCCGUCGAAUCAGCCGCCGCUCGCCGGCGGCGCACUUCGGCGGGCUCAGGCCAGCAUCAGUUCGCUGCAGGGGGAGAAAGGCGGCGGGAAUGUGGCUCUUCGGAGUGUUAUAGCCCGCCGCGCAAUACCCCUCGGCGGACUGAGGACCGCGCAUCUGCAAGGAUGCUGGCGUAAUGGUCGUCAGCGACCCGUCUUGAAACACGGACCAAGGAGUCGUCCUAAUAUGCGAGUGUUCGGGUGUAAAACCCCUGCGCGUAAUGAAAGUGAACGGAGGUGAGAGCUUCGGCGCAUCAUCGACCGAUCCUGAUGUUCUCGGAUGGAUUUGAGUAAGAGCAUAUUGGGCCGGACCCGAAAGAAGGUGAACUAUGCCUGUAUAGGGUAAAG
rnacentral:rRNA from 1 species